GUAUGUGUGUAACGCAGGGAAUAUCCCUUGUUGUGAAAAUAAAAACCACUUCAGUUUAUUUCGCUUCGCUUUUCCCCCGCCUUUGGGAGUAUUUUGCUAUCCUUUUCAUGAAGAAGACAACAAAAGCGCUUGCAGACAGGACCGCGGAUCGCACAGGUCCCCCGGCUUCCCGAAAACCAGCCUCUCGCACCGGCGGACGCGGAGACGGCGGGGAAAAGGCUGGAGGGAGCAAGCGGCCGGUCGGACCAAACUUAACAUAGAGAUAAUGAGUGCGGGGAGGGGGACGCAAUCCGGCUCGCACCGACUUCAGGGCAGUUUUUACGAGCUGUUUCAACGAAACAGGGCCAAAGUCCCGGCCGGCGGAGCCGGGAAUAACCGGGAGCGGGCGGCACCCGAGACCUGCAGACCGUGGGACGGCGGGCCGAGCGCCGGGCGUGAGCUCCGCUCUCACCUCGGGGCUGGGCUAUUGCCUUCGUGCUCCUCCUUUUCCUCGAGGGUCCCUGAUUUUCAUUUGAGAAGUCAAACAGUCUAAGAGGAGAUGGGGCAAAAACUUGAACAGAAAGUGUGUUUUCUUUCAAACGGAAUGGGUGCCCUCCAAAGUUCACGGGCGCCCAUGAGCAGUGCCGGCAGAGCGCCAUUCCCCUCCUACUCCAGAGACCCUCUCUUAGCCACAGGGUGUGCGGGUCUGGGUGACCGCUUCCACACCCGCCCGGAGUGUUGGAAAACGGGGCUGCCAAGGGACCUCCGACCUGGGGAGACUGCAGAGGGUGUGAGGAAACCUUGCACCCACGUACGUCUGUCCCAAACCAACGUGAGGGGGACAGCAGCGUGCGGAACCGAAGCGGGAGUACCCAGGUCGGGAUGUUUAACCCCGGCCUGUCCUCGGUGGGCUUUUUCCUCUACUCCCCAUCCCAAAACUACAGUAUGUGCGCUGCUGGGAGAUCCUCCGAUGGCAAGUCGGGAACUGGGAAUCACAAAGCUGUGGUCUUUAGGUUAAACAGACACCUUUCCGCCUGGUAAAGCACCCCGUUCAAGUCCUUGCCUGCUCUCCUUUCUGUUAUGUUUCAUGCUGGCCAGGCCUCGCAGAGUUAUGCCGUAAAGGCGAUGUCCCACAUUAAAACAAUAUGAAUUCGAGGAGGGAUCCUGAAUAUGAAUGAGAUAUGUGGUCGUAUGACUGCUUUUAAGUUGUACUUCUUCGAAUAUGGCUUUAAUUAAAUGUCUUCCGGUUCUAAAAGAUUACAUGUUGUGCAAAA